GUGCUUACACAUGCAGUCGAACGAUGAACCUCACUUGUGGGGGGAUUAGUGGCGAACGGGUGAGUAACACGUGAGUAACCUGCCCUUGACUCUGGGAUAAGCCUGGGAAACCGGGUCUAAUACUGGAUACGACCUUCUGGCGCAUGCCAUGUUGGUGGAAAGCUUUUGUGGUUUUGGAUGGACUCGCGGCCUAUCAGCUUGUUGGUGGGGUAAUGGCCUACCAAGGCGACGACGGGUAGCCGGCCUGAGAGGGUGACCGGCCACACUGGGACUGAGACACGGCCCAGACUCCUACGGGAGGCAGCAGUGGGGAAUAUUGCACAAUGGGCGCAAGCCUGAUGCAGCGACGCCGCGUGAGGGAUGAAGGCCUUCGGGUUGUAAACCUCUUUCAGUAGGGAAGAAGCCGGCCUUUUGGGUUGGUGACGGUACCUGCAGAAGAAGCGCCGGCUAACUAC
rnacentral:rRNA from 1 species